rnacentral:rRNA from 1 species
UAGAGUUUUGAUCCUGGCUCAGGACGAACGCUGGCGGCGUGCUUAACACAUGCAAGUCGAACGGUGAACCUUGGAGCUUGCUUCGAGGGGAUCAGUGGCGAACGGGUGAGUAACACGUGAGUAACCUGCCCCGGACUCUGGAAUAAGCGCUGGAAACGGCGUCUAAUACCGGAUACGAGACGCAACCGCAUGGUUAGUGUCUGGAAAGUUUUUCGGUCUGGGAUGGACUCGCGGCCUAUCAGCUUGUUGGUGAGGUAAUGGCUCACCAAGGCGACGACGGGUAGCCGGCCUGAGAGGGCGACCGGCCACACUGGGACUGAGACACGGCCCAGACUCCUACGGGAGGCAGCAGUGGGGAAUAUUGCACAAUGGGCGAAAGCCUGAUGCAGCGACGCCGCGUGAGGGAUGACGGCCUUCGGGUUGUAAACCUCUUUCAGCAGGGAAGAAGCGAAAGUGACGGUACCUGCAGAAGAAGCACCGGCUAACUACGUGCCAGCAGCCGCGGUAAUACGUAGGGUGCGAGCGUUGUCCGGAAUUAUUGGGCGUAAAGAGCUUGUAGGCGGUUUGUCGCGUCUGCUGUGAAAAUCCGGGGCUCAACCCCGGACUUGCAGUGGGUACGGGCAGACUAGAGUGUGGUAGGGGAGACUGGAAUUCCUGGUGUAGCGGUGAAAUGCGCAGAUAUCACGAGGAACACCGAUGGCGAAGGCAGGUCUCUGGGCCACUACUGACGCUGAGAAGCGAAAGCAUGGGGAGCGAACAGGAUUAGAUACCCUGGUAGUCCAUGCCGUAAACGUUGGGCGCUAGGUGUGGGACUCAUUCCACGAGUUCCGUGCCGCAGCUAACGCAUUAAGCGCCCCGCCUGGGGAGUACGGGCCGCAAAGGCUAAAACUCAAAGGAAUUUGACGGGGGCCCGCACAAGCGGCGGAGCAUGCGGAUUAAUUCGAUGCAACGCGAAGGACCUUACCAAGCUUGACAAUAUACCGGA